rnacentral:misc_RNA from 1 species
CUGAAGAAAUGGUAGGGUUGAUGCUGGCUCUUCGGAGUAUGUGCUCGCCUUAUCGCUUUUUCUACUUCUCCACCUGUGCACCUAUUGUAGAUCGUGUUGGAAAUCCUUUGUGGUUUCUCGUUCAUUUUGAACGGUUCAGAGGUCUUGCUUUUUAGCUAGACUUCGACUCUUCACGAUCUAUGUUAUAUCAACUCUUUAAAGUCUUUGAAUGUACUAGUUGGUCUUUAUUGACCGAUAAUUUUAAAA